rnacentral:lncRNA from 1 species
AGAAAUGUCCAGUUUUGAGUGAUUGUAGUAUGGAUGGAUUUUCUGGUUUUGUUAAUUAUUUCAGGUUUUUAACAAAUGUUCAUGAAAGAACCUAUUUGAUUUACUGCAGAGAAAAAUACUUUUUAGUCUGGAUUUCUGCCCUACUUAGAUUUUUUUUUUAAAGUAUAAGCAUGGAUUGCCAAUUCCACUUGAUGUAAACAAAACUUUUUAUACAUAAUAUAUAAUAACUUAUUGUAUCAGUCCAGGUUCAGAAACUUGUGGUAGGCCAGUUUCAGAUAGUUUCAUUUCACCUGUAAACUGUAUCACUUUUACUGAUAUUGUAAUUUUCAAAUGUAUAAUAUGUUUACAGAUGUGCCCUGCAUUUAGUAGCUUUGUUCCUAUUUUUCUUUUUUUUUUUUUUUUUUUUUUUUCCUUUUUGGUUGAGUCUCCUGCCUGCCAAAAGCUAGGAUGCUUCAGGCCCCUGUACAUCAGUGAGGCAUCCUUGAGCUUUAAAGCACUGAGCAAACUGGAAAAUGCAACACGCCACAUACUGAACUGAAAAGUCUGUGUUUUGUGUUCCUUUUUUUUUUUUAAUUUUUAAUAAAAAUUUUCAAAAAGUUAAAAAAAUUUUGAUUAAAGAAAAACGAGGCUCCAGUUUGUUUUAUAGGUUUUAAAGUUCUGCCGUGUGUUUAAUUGCCUUGUGUGACCACUUGUCGCCUUAGGGCUGAAUCCUUACCCCACUUUUUUUAAGUGUCCGUUUUGCUUGCCUGGAAUUUUAAAGUUGGUCUGUUGCACAAAUCACAAAAACAAAAGAACAAAAAAAUACUUCCUAGGUUUAUGGCAUACAAGGUUGAAUGAACAUACUUAAAAUGAAAAAAAAAAUCCAGUUUCCUGAAUUGGGAUUUUAACUUAGAAGUAAUACUUAGUACCUUUAAAGGCCUUCACUUUCAUAAUUCUUUUCCAUAACUUUCAGGCUGCGGUGCAGAGAAGCUAAAGAGAAUGUACCCUUUCUCUGUCCAAGGGUUGAGAAUCUCACUUCCUCUAAAUGAGACAAUGCAACAUUUCACUUUGAUUUCUCCACU